rnacentral:rRNA from 1 species
UACGGGGGGGGCAAGCGUUGUUCGGAAUUACUGGGCGUAAAGGGCUCGUAGGUGGCCAACUAAGUCAGACGUGAAAUCCCCAGGCUCAACCUGGGAACUGCGUCUGAUACUGGAUGGCUUGAAUUCGGGAGAGGGAUGCAGAAUUCCAGGUGUAGCGGUGAAAUGCGUAGAUAUCUGGAGGAAUACCGGUGGCGAAGGCGGCAUCCUGGACCGAUAUUGACACUGAGGAGCGAAAGUCAGGGGAGCAAACGGG